GACGAACGCUGGCGGCGUGCUUAACACAUGCAAGUCGAACGGAAAGGCCCUGCUUUUGUUGGGUUCUCGUUUGGCGGACGGGUGAGUAACACGUGAGUAACCUGCCCUUGACUUUCUGAUAACUUCAGGAAACUGGGGCUAAUACCGGAUAUAAUCUCCUGCUCCAUGUUGGUGGUUGGAGAGUUUCGGCGGUUGGGUCUGGACUCGCGGCGUAACCGCCUGUUUGUGGGGUUGUGGCUUACCAAGGCUUUGACGGGUAGCCGGCCUGAGGGGGUGACCGGCCACACUGGGACUGAGGUACGGCACAGACUGCUACGGGAGGCAGCAGUGGGGAAUAUUGCAGAAUGGGCGGAAGCCGGAUGCAGCAACGCCGCGUGCGGGAUAACGGCCUUCGGGUUGUAAACCGAUUUCGCCUGUAACGAAGCGUGAGUGAAGGUAAUGGGUAAAGAAGCACCGGCUAACUACGUG
rnacentral:rRNA from 1 species